CAGAGUUUAUCCUGGCUCAGGAUGAACGCUAGCUACAGGCUUAACACAUGCAAGUCGAGGGGCAGCAUGGUCUUAGCUUGCUAAGACCGAUGGCGACCGGCGCACGGGUGAGUAACGCGUAUCCAACCUGCCUUACACUCUUGGACAGCCUUCUGAAAGGGAGAUUAAUACAAGAUGUUAUCAUGAGUAAGCAUUUUCACAUGAUUAAAGGUUUACCGGUGUAAGAUGGGGAUGCGUUCCAUUAGAUAGUAGGCGGGGUAACGGCCACCUAGUCUUCGAUGGAUAGGGGUUCUGAGAGGAAGGUCCCCCACAUUGGAACUGAGACACGGUCCAAACUCCUACGGGAGCA
rnacentral:rRNA from 1 species